rnacentral:sRNA from 1 species
GUGUCGCAAUAGUAAUUCAACCUAGUACGAGAGGAACCGCUGAUUCGCACAAUUGGUCAUUGCGCUUGGGCGAAAAACCAAUGGCGCGAAGCUACCGUGCGUUGGAUUAUGACUGAACGCCUCUAAGUCAGAAUCUGGGCUAGAAGCGACGC